rnacentral:rRNA from 1 species
UACAGAGGGGGCAAGCGUUGUUCGGAAUUACUGGGCGUAAAGGGCGCGUAGGCGGCCUGCUAAGUCGAACGUGAAAUCCCCGGGCUCAACCCGGGAACUGCGUCCGAUACUGGCAGGCUUGAAUUCGGGAGAGGGAUGCGGAAUUCCAGGUGUAGCGGUGAAAUGCGUAGAUAUCUGGAGGAACACCGGUGGCGAAGGCGGCAUCCAGGACCAACAUUGACGCUGAGGAGCGAAAGCUAGGGGAGCAAACGGG